rnacentral:rRNA from 15 species
AACGACUCUCGACAACGGAUAUCUCGGCUCUCGCAUCGAUGAAGAACGUAGCGAAAUGCGAUACUUGGUGUGAAUUGCAGAAUCCCGUGAACCAUCGAGUCUUUGAACGCAAGUUGCGCCCGAAGCCACUAGGCCGAGGGCACGCCUGCCUGGGUGUCACGC